rnacentral:rRNA from 1 species
CCCUUAGAUGUUCUGGGCUGCACACGUGCUACACUGGCAGGUUCAGCGAGCUUCAUGCCCUGAUCUGAAAGGAAUGGGAAAUCUUUUCAAAACCUGCCGUGCUUGGGAUAGAUGUUUGCAAUUAUUCAUCUUCAACGAGGAUUGCCUUGUAAGCGCACGUCAUCAGCGUGCAUUGAAUACGACCCUGUAUUCUGCACACACCGCCCGUCGCUCCUACCGAUUGAAGUUUUCGGUGAGUCGACAGGAGGAUUUUUUUGAAACUGGUUCGCCAGUGGAUUUUAGAUCCAAAUGCCAACGAAUCGAUGGCUUUAGAGGAAGGAGAAGUCGUAACA